rnacentral:rRNA from 1 species
AUUGAACGCUGGCGGCAGGCUUAACACAUGCAAGUCGAGCGGAGAUGAGGUGCUUGCACCUUAUCUUAGCGGCGGACGGGUGAGUAAUGCUUAGGAAUCUGCCUAAUAGUGGGGGACAACAUUCCGAAAGGAAUGCUAAUACCGCAUACGUCCUACGAGAGAAAGCAGGGGAUCUUCGGACCUUGCGCUAAUAGAUGAGCCUAAGUCGGAUUAGCUAGUUGGCGGGGUAAAGGCGUACCAAGGCGACGAUCUGUAGCGGGUCUGAGAGGAUGAUCCGCCACACUGGGACUGAGACACGGCCCAGACUCCUACGGGAGGCAGCAGUGGGGAAUAUUGGACAAUGGGGGGAACCCUGAUCCAGCCAUGCCGCGUGUGUGAAGAAGGCCUUAUGGUUGUAAAGCACUUUAAGCGAGGAGGAGGCUACUGAGACUAAUACUCUUGGAUAGUGGACGUUACUCGCAGAAUAAGCACCGGCUAACUCUGUGCCAGCAGCCGCCGCCG